CGAAUGAGGAGAUUCAUCGUCAGCUUAUUCAGUAUUAAUGCAGGCUAUGAUGUGAUAAUAGAACCCUUGUGGUCACUAGAUUAUACUUGCUUGUAUUAUUUUUGCUGGGUAUGUCGGCGUGCACUUCUCCUCUAGUAGAACGUCGCAACCCGUUGGAUGUUUAUCUAUGGCUUGAAUGGUAGCCUUUGAUAUUUUUUAUAUUGAAGACCUUCGAUGUCCUGAUAAACUGUUUGACGGUAUACAUAUGGUAUUGAGCCGCAAUUAUUUGCGUUAGACUUGCCGCAAGUAUGACUUUAUUCUAGUAGUGCGGAUCUAACGCCGUCGCUGGACA
rnacentral:rRNA from 1 species